rnacentral:rRNA from 1 species
AUUGAACGCUGGCGGCGUGCUUAACACAUGCAAGUCGUGCGGUAACAGGCGUAGCAAUACGUGCUGACGAGCGGCGAACGGGUGCGUAAUACAUGGGAAUCUGCCUUUUAGUGGGGAAUAACCCGGCGAAAGCCGGGCUAAUGCCGCAUAAGAUCUUCGGAUGAAAGCGGGGGAUCGUAAGACCUCGCGCUGAUAGAUGAGCCCAUGCCGGAUUAGCUAGUGGUGAGGUAACGGCUCACCAAGGCGACGAUCCGUAGCUGGUCUGAGAGGACGGCCAGCCACACUGGGACUGAGACACGGCCCACGACUCCUACGGGAGGCAGCAGUGGGGAAUAUUGGACGAAUGGGGGAAACCCUGAUCCAGCGACGCCGCGUGUGUGAAGAAGG